UUUCCGUAGGUGAACCUGCGGAAGGAUCAUUAAAAGUAAUAUGUGUUCACUCGAAUAUACAUUAUAAACCCCCCUCUGUGUACCUUACCUGUUGCUUCCGCUGGGCAGUGAUCUCGAUCACCUGCGAACCGGAUGGCGCGAGCCAUUCGGUGGUAGAGUCCUCGCGAAUGGUCUACAUCAAACCCUUGCAUUUCUAUGUCAUCUGUCUGAACCUGUUUAUAACAAAUGUUAAAACUUUCAACAACGGAUCUCUUGGUUCUC
rnacentral:misc_RNA from 1 species